rnacentral:rRNA from 1 species
CUGCCACCAGCCGCGGUAAUACGUAGGGUGCGAGCGUUAAUCUUAAUUACUGGGCGUAAAGCGUGCGCAGGCGUGUUUGCUAAGACCGAUGUGAAAUCCCCGGGCUCAACCUGGGAACUGCAUUGGUGACUGGCAGGCUAGAGUAUGGCAGAGGGGGGUAGAAUUCCACGUGUAGCAGUGAAAUGCGUAGGGAUGUGGAGGAAUACCGAUGGCGAAGGCAGCCCCCUGGGCCAAUACUGACGCUCAUGCACGAAAGCGUGGGGAGCAAACAGGAUUAGAUACUCUGGUAGUCC